GAUGAACGCUGGCGGCGUGCCUAAUACAUGCAAGUCGAGCGAACAGAUAAGGAGCUUGCUCCUUUGACGUUAGCGGCGGACGGGUGAGUAACACGUGGGUAACCUACCUAUAAGACUGGGAUAACUUCGGGAAACCGGAGCUAAUACCGGAUAACAUUUGAAACCGCAUGGUUCUAAAGUGAAAGAUGGUUUUGCUAUCACUUAUAGAUGGACCCGCGCCGUAUUAGCUAGUUGGUAAGGUAACGGCUUACCAAGGCAACGAUACGUAGCCGACCUGAGAGGGUGAUCGGCCACACUGGAACUGAGACACGGUCCAGACUCCUACGGGAGGCAGCAGUAGGGAAUCUUCCGCAAUGGGCGAAAGCCUGACGGAGCAACGCCGCGUGAGUGAUGAAGGGUUUCGGCUCGUAAAACUCUGUUAUUAGGGAAGAACAAAUGUGUAAGUAACUGUGCACGUCUUGACGGUACCUAAUCAGAAAGCCACGGCUAACUACGUG
rnacentral:rRNA from 1 species